rnacentral:rRNA from 1 species
AUGAAACCAUUGCUUCUUCCUCCUGUCAACUACUUUGCCCAAAGGCCUGCUGAUGGUACAAAAGGUGGCAUUUUGCUGCUAUGGGAUGACUCUGUGGUCACGGUGACAAAUGUGCAAAUUGGUGUCUACUUCCUCUCGGCGACAGUGGCCAUCAACAACUAUGGCGACGACAAAACUUUUAAGCUAACCACAGUGUAUGGACCAACCCGUAGCAUUAACAAGGAUGCUUUCUAUCUUGAGCUGACUUCAGAAAAGCCUCCGCCUGGAACCAAAUGGCUAGUAAAUGGUGAUUUCAAUCAAAUCUAUCGUGCCAGGGACAAAAACCGAGCCAACGUCGUCCGUAGCCGUCUCGUGCGGUUCCGCAACGCCCUCAACACAUGUGAGCUCAAGGAGAUACACAUGCAAAACAGAAAAUUUACUUGGAGCAAUGAACAAAGUAACCCGACGAUGAGCAAGCUAGACAGCUUCUUUUGCAAUGAAGACUGGGACAUAGAGUUUGCCACGCACAUUCUGCAUGCACUCUCCUCAUCACUUUCUGACCAUUGCCCACUUCUACUUGCUAAUGAUGUCGGACCAAAGAAGCCUAAAUCCUUCCGUUUUGAAAAUUACUGGACAAAGAUGCCAGGGUUCCAAUGUGUCGUCUCCGAGGCAUGGACUGAAAUUUCUUGUCACGUCGAACCAUAUCAGCGGCUAUUUCACAAGCUAAAGAGAACAGGCCAAAAACGGCGCUCCUGGAGCAAGACCCUUUUCUCGAACUCCAAGGUUCAACUCCACAUGGCUCUUGAGGUUAUCCUUCGCCUUGACCUCGCGCAAGAACAAAGAGAGCUAAAUGAUGCUGCUGUUUUCAUUGCCCCACUCAAGGAGGACGUCAAUUUCUUUGCUGCUACCCUUGAGAGCUUUGGAGAUAUUUCGGGCUUGAUGACAAAUUGCUCCAAAAGCUUGGUCGCCCCAAUUAGAUGCGACAAUGUGGACCUUCCAGAUAUUCUCCAAUCUUUUCCGGCUCAACGAUCCACCUUCCCGCCUCUAGAGGACAAGAUCGCGGCCCAGCUCACUCCUUGGAUGGGAAAGCAUGUUGCAGCCCCUGGAAGGAUGGUUCUUGUUAAGUCGGUCAUCACGGCCAUCGCCAUUUACUAUAUGACGGCUCUAAAUCUUCCAGUUGAAGUUGUGAAAAAGAUCGAUGCCCUCCGGCGUGCUUAUCUCUGGGCUGGUUGUGACAAGGUCACGGGUGGGAAAUGUAAGGUCAACUGGGAUCAAGUCUGCAAGUCAAAGCUGCAUGGGGGCCUUGGGAUCCUAAAUCUUCAGAAGUUUGCGGCUGCUCUUCGUCUCUGUUGGUUGUGGUUUGACUGGCAGGACCCGAUCAGGCCUUGGUCGGGCUUGGGCCUCCCUUGCGACAAGAAGGAUCAAAACAUCUUUGCGUCGGCCUCCAAGGUUCAGGUGGGGGACGGUCUUCGUGCCUCCUUCUGGGAGUCAGCUUGGCUAGAUGGCAUCAGACCCAAAGAUAUUGCUCCCAAAAUUUACGACAUCUCCAAAAAGAAGAACUCUUCCGUUCAUAAGGCUUUGCUCAAUGGCUUCUGGAUCUCCCAGGUGAAUGUUGCCUCGGGCAUCACCACUGAGCACAUUGUCCAGUUUGUUGCGCUUUGGGACAGACUCACCCACAUUCAGUUAAACCCAGACAUGCCAGACUCCAUCACUUGGAAACUAACUACUAAUGGCCACUAUUCCGCAGCCUCGGCAUACAGGGCUCAGUUUCUUGGCUUGCUUUUCUCCUGGCUCAUCCUCCACAACCACAUUCUCACAGCAAAUUUGCUCGCCCACAAGGGAUGGCCGUCGCACGCCCCUUGGCUUCGUGUCCGUUAUGCCAACAUAGCCCCGAAACUGCCACUCACCUCUUCAAGGAUGCCCCCUUCACUGCUGCUGCUUGAGUCCUCAUUGAGCUUUCUUCUAGGGAUCAGCCGGCCCCGCUGCGCUCACGCAUCACACGCGUGCCAACUCCUGUGCAUAUACGAUGGUUCUUGCUGGCAGCCUCCCCAACACUAG